UGCGAGCCUCUCUCUUUCUUGAAAUCAGUGGCUCAAUGUCUUCCAGGUUUUCGGCAAACCAAUCAGGAUUUCUCCUCUUCUGGAUACCGAGGACCUCUUCCGCGGAUUUGGCGCGAUCUUCAGCCUAAGUCUUGAGGCUACCAGCCUGUGAUCGGACCAUCCGUCAUCCAUGGAGCGGAUUGCCCUCGUGACCAUGACGUCCGCUCGGUCGCAGAUGCGGUUGCCAACGCCUUCCUUCCCCAGAAUCCCUCCCCAAAGCUGAUGGUCCCGGCCCACCCGCGCGUUGAAAUCCCCCAGAACC